rnacentral:rRNA from 1 species
UGGUGGAGUGAUCUGUCUGGUUAAUUCCGAUAACGAACGAGACCUCAACCUGCUAACUAGAUCCCGGGCGGUAUCUUCUUAGAGGGACUUCCAAGGUUACUUGGAGGAAGUGUGAGGCAAUAACA